ACUUCCGCCGCCGCGCCCGCCGCCGUAGCCGCCGCCGCCGCCGGAACUACCGGGAGUGAGGGUUAUGUUCGGUUAACUCUAACUUUGAAAAAUGGGCCCGUGCCAAACACUUGACCUGAAUUUUUGUCUCAUCAAAUCCUGACAGCAAUUGUACAAGGUCAGCAUUGGUGUUUUCCAGGUGAUGCACCUUGUCAAGGCUCUGUGAUCUGGUGCUGGGACACUUUUGACUGACAAGGUGAAUGUCUUCUUUCAAUCCUGGAAGUGAUCACUGAAACCAUUUGAAUUUAACCCCCAAAGUCUCUGAAUGGGAAGCCAUAGGCCGAAUGGCCCUCUUCCUGCAAUUGGCCCUGUGUCUGGAUUAUUUCACCAAAGUUUGAUGUUAUACCAAGGACGGCUGAUUCAUACCAACAUAGGGCCGUAUCAUUGGCAAAAUGGAGACACCAGACAGCAAAAUUGGCCCUAGAAGCGAUGAUCAAUUAGUCACAGAUGAAAAUGGAAACCAAUUAUUCUGGCCUGUCACGCUCUUAUGGUGUGAUCAGAGGACCCAAGUAAGACAGACAUCUGGAAGCCUGUCACCUUCCUGCUCCAGGAACUGACCUGAACAGCAAACCAUUCUUCCACGUCUCUGCGGUUGUUGGCGAGCACCGUUUCAUACUGACAGCGCAUCUCAUCCAGGACCUUGUUGAGGUCGACGGUGGGGGCAGUGUCCAGCUCCACGCUGAGUCGGUCACCCAGCUGUCUGCGAAGCAAGUUGACCUCCUGAAUGGGGGAAUGGAGUCAAGAGUGUGACAGGGCAAAGGAGAUCGUCCUUCAGAGACUCCACGUGGGCCUCCAGAUCGGCUUUGCACAGAGUCAACUCACCCAGGAUCCCACGCAGGCCGCCAAUGUCCGUCUCCAGCAGCUGGCGAAGAGACAGUUCAGACUCGUACCUUUCACGGCAAAAGAGAUACAGCCAAUGCUUACUUGGCUGGAGACAGUGCUGGGGAUGCUGGGGGGUGACAAGAGGACUCAAGGAAGCCACAUCCCAAAUAAUAAAUGCCUCGCACCUUCUCCAGGUAGUUGGCGAGUCUGUCGUUCAGGAACUGCAUCGUCUCCUUCUCGUUGCUGUUGAACAUCCCAUCCUC